rnacentral:lncRNA from 10 species
GAGAUCGCGCCACUACACUCCAGCCUGGGUGGCAGAGCCAGACUCCGUCUCAAAAAAAAAAAGUAUGAAUUAUUUUGUCUCUACAUAUUUGUUUAGCAUUUAUAGUUUUAAAGUUUAUUCUUUAAAAAACUGUUUGUGGAUUUUCCCAAAGAUUGCAGCUAAUAUGCUGUCUUUCUGUAUCUAUUAUUGACUAGAUCAUGACCCCCUUGACCACAGUAACAAGUUCCCAGCACGUAUCCUGGAUUCUGGAUCAUAGAGAAUACUUGAAAAUAUUGAAACGAAUACAUACACGCUUUGAAUACAGGAGGUUGUCAGAGUUGAUGCAAGUUACAAAUGUAUGACAUACCAAGUUUUAUUUUGUUUGUUGUUUGUUUUUAGAGACAAGGUCUUGCUCUGUUGCCCAGACUAGAGUGCAGUGGUGCAAUUAUGGCUCAUUGCAGCGUAGAAUGCCAAGACUCAAGUGAUCCUCCUGCUUCAGCCUCCUGAGUAGCCGGGACUAUAGAUGUUCACCACCAUGCUGUGCCCUUCACCACAGAGAUUCACACACAUUGUCCUGGGAUUCAGAUAAGCUAACAAAAUAGAGUGGAAGCUGGUUGAACUGUGGGCCUAUCAACUGCCUCACUUUACAAGUGCACAAAGAAGAGAUCAUGUGAACACACAGCAAGACGGUGGCCAUCUACAAGCCAAAAGAAGAAGCCUCAGAAUAAAAUCCACCUUGAACUUGGGCUUCUCAGCCUCCAGCACUGUG